UGAGCCAAGUUGUAUAAUCUCCGUAAAAGAUGUUGGUGUCGCAUGGUUGAAGGUGAACUGCGGGAGGGAAAUCCAUCAUCGUGCCUUCUGAAGUCCUUUCCUUAAUGGGUGAGGUUGACGUCUGUGUUUUACGCGUAUCUACAUCUUCGUUGAUGGAAGCUAAGCAAUAGUCGUAUAUUUGACAGCUUUUUCAUGACUGGGUUCAUGACUUUCGCGAGAAAUUCUUUUGAUAACAUCGUAUGAGUGCCUUGCUAUUUCAUAAAGCGAAUUUAGUUUGACCCUUUUAAUUUUUUGGGUGUAGACCGAUUCAUCUUCACUUUGGGUCUGAGGAUGGUCUUCCACGAAUUCAAUUAAAUCCGUUGUUGUAAUUUUAAAAUUCCAUAGUUGGGUAAGAAGUUUUUAUUAUUUGGAUUGAACGAAAAAAAUAACGCAAGUCGCGUAGAUGCGCUAUUCGUAUGUAGAUACGUAAUUGCGGGUGAAUAUUUAUUUAUACUCGUACUAGCUGACUCGGCGAACUUCGCCCCGCGCAAUUUUUAUUUUUUUUUUUGGAAGUCAUAGACUCGUAUAACUUUACCACAAAUAAUAUAAACUUCAAACAACGCAUUUUCAUUUAAUGUUUUUAAUGUUUGUAGCGCCAUCUACUAUAACAUACCGCACUUACUCAAUACCGCUGUUAGCGCCACCAACUGGUGGAUAGCUCUUUGCUAAUAAUAAACAAUUAAUUUGCAAUAAAUAAAUAAUGCGACUAUAAGGAGAGUUAUAAACUAUCCUAUCUUUCAAGUUGGACCAAACUGCACACAGUGUUAAACAUUUCAUUAAAAUCGGUUCAGUAGUUUAGGAGUCCAUCGCAAACAAACUACGCGACACGUGAUUUUUAUGUAUUAAGAUAUAUAGUUUUAGUUCAACGAGAAGAAUGUAAUAGCCGACGGCAAAAUAUAUACAUAUUCUUUAAUCCAUGGAAAUGGAUUUGAACAUCCCCAAAACAUCGAUUUAUCGUGGCCGAAUAUUUGGGCUUACGAAAGGUGUGUGCACGGUUUGUUCCGCACAAAUUGACUUACGACCAAAAAUUGCUCAGAAUCCAACAUUCGCAGGACAAUUAUUUGACCAAAAAUCACAUUUUAACUAUUAACUACUCCCCAUAUUCACCUGAUAUGGCACCGUGCGACUUCUUCCUUUUCGGAAAAGUGCAUUUGCCUAUGAAAAAAGCGUUACGCAGACGUAGAGACCAUUCAAAAGGUUUGCACCGGUAUACUAGCGGCUAUACCGGUGGCACGACUUUUGGACCGUGAAAAAAGCUAUGUAUAUUGAAGCAGAAGGAGACGAUUUUGAAUAAAAUAAAUUGAUUUUCCCCAAAAACCAUUUGUUUUGUUUUUUUUUUAAGUCCUGUUUACUUUGGAAAGGUGCUUUCCAGUGCAAAUAAAAUUUUUGUCAACCCAACUGAGGCAAAUAAAUUGUGCUUAAGUCUACUUUAGGACACCAUUAGACAAUUGGGUAUUUUUUAACAACUGAUUUGCACCCUAUAUUUAUUUUUAUAUAGAAAAAAUAUUGGUCGCACUUACCGUUUUUUUUUUUUUGCUUUUGGUUAAUUUCGUUUUGUUUUUGUUUUUAGUUACUCGUUUGGGUAUUUGUUGAUUAAGCGUACAGGCUUUUUGUUUGUUUGGUGCACUUUUUUAACCCUAUCGACCCCAACUUUUCCGCGUGAAAUGAAAAUUAUUGUUUUAAUAUUAGUGGUUUUGUAUUCAUUUAACAAGUAUUUGGAAAAAAUUUUAAGUCGCCACGCCCAUCGUUUUGGGCGCUACCGGAAGUUGCUUGUGGGCAACUUUGGGCCAAGGUGGUAUAUAAAAUAAACCCUAAUUCUUUGGAAAGAUUACAAUUAUUUCUAUAUUAUUUUCAAAAUUAGGUUUGGUAUGACAAAAAGCAGUUUUGUUGUUGUUACAGCGAAGAUGGAUUUUGCAUUUAAGCCAUUUGGAUAUUGGUGUUCCUGUUUUGCGCAUUCUGCAACGUCCUUUUUCACCAAAUACAACCCAAUGUUCCAUUUUAUCAUAACGCUGAGAGUUUGAUGGAUUCGGCUGAAACCUGUACUUUUUUGACUGAGGGAAAGACAGACUACUUAUUGGGGGCAUAGUAUCUAGGGAUACUAUAGAGCUAGCCCUUUCAACAUUCGUUGGUCGUCCUCUCUUCUUUUCGAAAGUAGUAGUGGUACUACUCUGUAAAAGCUCCGUUGCAACUUCUGUUUGGAAUUCAAUAAGUCGAAAGGGUUAACGUUUAGAUUGGGUUCUGGAAUUGCAACGGUGAUGUCUGGGGGCCGAUUGCCUUUAAUUAAAAAUUACUUCGUUUAGUGUGAACGUUAUAAGUUUCUUAUUUAAUAUACAAUUGUAUAUAAAUAUAAAUAUAUGGAUGUGUGUGUGUAUUACCAAUAAUGGUUAAUUGUGUUACUUUAUAGAUAUAUGUAAUUCUAUGUUAAUUUAUUUAAUUAUUUUAACCUGCUGUGGAUUAUAGUUCCUUUCUAUGCUGUGUUGAAGUAUUUGAUUGAUGUGAUGUUUCCUUUGCAGUGUUUGCUCACUUUGUAUAGAAUUUUCCACUUCUUUGCAUUCACUUGUGUUUUAUUUCACUUUAAUGUAUAAUUUAUAUGAUAAUUUUAUGGCGGGAUGGCUUCAGAAAAAACGAGGGAAGUAAAAAGUAUUCUUCGUUUCUCCUCUUUCGUCUGUUGAGUGAAGUUGGGACGGUUGAUAUUCCUCUACAUUGUGCCUCUAUUACUUUAUGGGGUCAGUAGGGUAAUAUUUUUUCAAAAUGUUUUUUUUUUGCACUUUCUUAUACCCUUAGAAUUAAUGUAGAAACCCACUUCACCAUGUAAAGGUUUCGAAAAAGGCCUAAAAAUAAUAAUACCGCUCGACGUUCGGAGCGCUCGUAGUGACCACCUGGCUCUUUAAACGCGUUUUUCUCAAACACACACUUUUUUAAACUGGCGGACAUGAUUCGAACUACUACUGAUUCGUUAAUUCAUCUUUUCUUUAUCAACAUUUUUGCAUGAUUCUAGCAGAGACGAUAACCAUUCACGUACUUUUUAAGAAUAAAUUAGGUUUUUGUGUUUCAGAUGAUCUAAACAUGGGAAAUCGUGUCCGCCAAUGAAAAAUCGCAUCUCACUCACCCAGCCAUUUCUUUGACACAUGUUAUCAAAAAUUCCGAAAAAAUUUGUUUGUACACUCCACGAUAUAUCUCAUGAUAUGUGAAAAAAGUUCUAUGAUAGAAUAAAAAUGUCUACGAAAAAAAUGUCAAAAAACAGGCCGAUUACCCCAUUGACCCCUUAUGUAAUUUCUGGGCCCCUAUAUACUUAAAAAACCCCGCAUAUAUCGGCCAAUAAGGAAAUAUUCGAAUGAAUAUAAGAGAGCGGUUUUUUACUCAGAACAGUGUAUCUUUGAGCCUAAAAUAGAUACAUUUGAGCGGAAACUUGGCCUAGCGCCUAAAUAACUUAUAUGAGGAUUUUCGAACAUCCGGUUGUCUUUACUUUAUAUGAUUACUUUUACACCUUAAAGUAUUGCCCUGGUUUUGAUUCUUGCAAGUUGCAGAAGUACACUUAAAAUGUUCGGUUACACCCGAACUUAGCCCUACCUCACUUGUAUUGAUUAUUCUAAUUAUUUUGCUUAAUCAAUACAAAUAAAUUUUGACCCUUCCAAAGGUUAUGUAAUAAACUUUUUGCGCCAAUAUGAAAAUUUCUCCGUCUAAAGGGAUCAUAAUAGAAGCAGAAUUGAGCAUUGUUGGUCAAAGAGAAACGAUUUUGACGAUACUCAAGUGGAAAUAGCCAACUUGGUAAAUAACGAACACCAUAAUGUAGAUGAUAUAUAAUAUGACGAUUCCUCAUCUCCACAUCUUUUUAAGAUGGAAUGUGCAUUCCUAAGUUCAAAUGGCUGUUGCUACAGAGUUGUGUUCACCUAAAGAUUGUGCAUAUCACCAAAACAAAGCGAGAUAGAUAUAGGUUUAUAUACAUAUAUACAAGUGAUAAAUAUGACUAGAAAAGUUAAAAUUCCGGUGACUGUCUGUUUAUUCGUCCGUUCGUCCGACCGUGAAAGCUGUAAAUUGAAAACAAAAAAUUAAAUAGAAAACAGUGCACGCAAGUUAUUAAUAAUAAACAUAAACAAAUAUGUGAUGAGUUAUCGCAGCGAUCAGCUAAAAUGGAAAUAAAGCGACGGACGCAGUCAGCAUUAAACAGCUAUCGGGCAAUAACGAAUACACUAAUAGCAACCAGGAAGCACCCUCGCAUACCGUGAAGCACCCGGACAGCGAAAGAAAACAAGAUGCAAGAUAAGAAUGCACCAAGCAAAAAAGAACCAUCUGAUCAGACUGAUAUUGAUCGCUACAUAAACGCAAAAAGGAAAUCGAUUAUAAUUAAAUCAGCGGUCAAUACCAAAAAAUUUCAACGAAUCAUGCCGAUGGUAAAAAGCCAGAAAUUCUUAACGGCAAAAUAUUUGCCUUACUGCGCAAAGAGCCUAACGAUGAUGUACAGCAGAGAGCUGCAACGAUCACAAUUUUUUCAAUCAUACCCGAUCAUUGACUCAGAUUUUUUGUGACGGAAAACUUUGCUUCAACAAAAAUGAAUGAUCGUAAGCGAGCGUGCUCGAAGCGAACAAUCAGUUUCAAUCACUGUUGCUUGUUUCGUUAUGAUUUUUCUCUAUCGAAAGCCUUGUGUGAGCAGCAAAGAAUGUUCGAGAAUGCUGCUUGCAUUCCGAUCUAUCACAAUCAUACCGUUUGGUCAUACCGGUUGGUUCCUGCCAGCAGCGCAGUCGCUGAGCGUUCUUUUUCUUUAGCUUGAAAUAUUAUAACUGAAAAAAGAAAUAGGCUCGGACCAUGUCCAGUUGAAAGCUUAUUUUUUUUUAAAUUCGUUUUAUAAAAGUUUUAGCGAUUAAGAUUGAAACCAAAAAAUAAACCUUUUUUUAAUUUUAA